rnacentral:rRNA from 1 species
AGGGCGGGACACGUGGUAUCCUGUCUGAAUAUGGGGGGACCAUCCUCCAAGGCUAAAUACUCCUGACUGACCGAUAGUGAACCAGUACCGUGAGGGAAAGGCGAAAAGAACCCCGGCGAGGGGAGUGAAAAAGAACCUGAAACCGUGUACGUACAAGCAGUGGGAGCACGCUUAGGCGUGUGACUGCGUACCUUUUGUAUAAUGGGUCAGCGACUUAUAUUCUGUAGCAAGGUUAACCGAAUAGGGGAGCCGAAGGGAAACCGAGUCUUAACUGGGCGUUAAGUUGCAGGGUAUAGACCCGAAACCCGGUGAUCUAGCCAUGGGCAGGUUGAAGGUUGGGUAACACUAACUGGAGGACCGAACCGACUAAUGUUGAAAAAUUAGCGGAUGACUUGUGGCUGGGGGUGAAAGGCCAAUCAAACCGGGAGAUAGCUGGUUCUCCCCGAAAGCUAUUUAGGUAGCGCCUCGUGAAUUCAUCUCCGGGGGUAGAGCACUGUUUCGGCAAGGGGGUCAUCCCGACUUACCAACCCGAUGCAAACUGCGAAUACCGGAGAAUGUUAUCACGGGAGACACACGGCGGGUGCUAACGUCCGUCGUGAAGAGGGAAACAACCCAGACCGCCAGCUAAGGUCCCAAAGUCAUGGUUAAGUGGGAAACGAUGUGGGAAGGCCCAGACAGCCAGGAUGUUGGCUUAGAAGCAGCCAUCAUUUAAAGAAAGCGUAAUAGCUCACUGGUCGAGUCGGCCUGCGCGGAAGAUGUAACGGGGCUAAACCAUGCACCGAAGCUGCGGCAGCGACGCUGAUGCGUUGUUGGGUAGGGGAGCGUUCUGUAAGCCUGCGAAGGUGUGCUGUGAGGCAUGCUGGAGGUAUCAGAAGUGCGAAUGCUGACAUAAGUAACGAUAAAGCGGGUGAAAAGCCCGCUCGCCGGAAGACCAAGGGUUCCUGUCCAACGUUAAUCGGGGCAGGGUGAGUCGACCCCUAAGGCGAGGCCGAAAGGCGUAGUCGAUGGGAAACAGGUUAAUAUUCCUGUACUUGGUGUUACUGCGAAGGGGGGACGGAGAAGGCUAUGUUGGCCGGGCGACGGUUGUCCCGGUUUAAGCGUGUAGGCUGGUUUUCCAGGCAAAUCCGGAAAAUCAAGGCUGAGGCGUGAUGACGAGGCACUACGGUGCUGAAGCAACAAAUGCCCUGCUUCCAGGAAAAGCCUCUAAGCAUCAGGUAACAUCAAAUCGUACCCCAAACCGACACAGGUGGUCAGGUAGAGAAUACCAAGGCGCUUGAGAGAACUCGGGUGAAGGAACUAGGCAAAAUGGUGCCGUAACUUCGGGAGAAGGCACGCUGAUAUGUAGGUGAAGUCCCUCGCGGAUGGAGCUGAAAUCAGUCGAAGAUACCAGCUGGCUGCAACUGUUUAUUAAAAACACAGCACUGUGCAAACACGAAAGUGGACGUAUACGGUGUGACGCCUGCCCGGUGCCGGAAGGUUAAUUGAUGGGGUUAGCCGCAAGGCGAAGCUCUUGAUCGAAGCCCCGGUAAACGGCGGCCGUAACUAUAACGGUCCUAAGGUAGCGAAAUUCCUUGUCGGGUAAGUUCCGACCUGCACGAAUGGCGUAAUGAUGGCCAGGCUGUCUCCACCCGAGACUCAGUGAAAUUGAACUCGCUGUGAAGAUGCAGUGUACCCGCGGCAAGACGGAAAGACCCCGUGAACCUUUACUAUAGCUUGACACUGAACAUUGAGCCUUGAUGUGUAGGAUAGGUGGGAGGCUUAGAAGUGUGGACGCCAGUCUGCAUGGAGCCGACCUUGAAAUACCACCCUUUAAUGUUUGAUGUUCUAACGUUGACCCGUAAUCCGGGUUGCGGACAGUGUCUGGUGGGUAGUUUGACUGGGGCGGUCUCCUCCUAAAGAGUAACGGAGGAGCACGAAGGUUGGCUAAUCCUGGUCGGACAUCAGGAGGUUAGUGCAAUGGCAUAAGCCAGCUUGACUGCGAGCGUGACGGCGCGAGCAGGUGCGAAAGCAGGUCAUAGUGAUCCGGUGGUUCUGAAUGGAAGGGCCAUCGCUCAACGGAUAAAAGGUACUCCGGGGAUAACAGGCUGAUACCGCCCAAGAGUUCAUAUCGACGGCGGUGUUUGGCACCUCGAUGUCGGCUCAUCACAUCCUGGGGCUGAAGUAGGUCCCAAGGGUAUGGCUGUUCGCCAUUUAAAGUGGUACGCGAGCUGGGUUUAGAACGUCGUGAGACAGUUCGGUCCCUAUCUGCCGUGGGCGCUGGAGAACUGAGGGGGGCUGCUCCUAGUACGAGAGGACCGGAGUGGACGCAUCACUGGUGUUCGGGUUGUCAUGCCAAUGGCACUGCCCGGUAGCUAAAUGCGGAAGAGAUAAGUGCUGAAAGCAUCUAAGCACGAAACUUGCC